rnacentral:SRP_RNA from 1 species
GCCGGGCGUGGUGGCGCGUUCCUGUAGUCCCAACUACUCAGGAGGCUGAGGUGGGAGGAUUGCUUGAGCCCAGGAGUUCGGGGCUGUGGUGUGCUGUGCCGAUUGGGUGUCCAUACUAAGUUCAGCAUCAAUAUGGUAACCUCCCGGGAUCGGGGGACCAUCAGGUUGCCUGAGGGUGAACCGGCCCAGGUCGGAAAUGGAGCAGGUCAAAACUCCCAUGCUGAUCAGUAGUGGGAUCGCACCUGUGAAUAGCCACUGCACCCCAGCCUGGGCAAUGUAGCGAGACCCUGUCUCC